rnacentral:lncRNA from 1 species
AUUCAUUAAUUAUAUUUUUGUGUUUGACAAGACCUUCGGACUUGUGCCUACGUACCAACAUAAAAUGAGGGAUCAAAACCUCGUAGUUUGUGGUAUCAAUUUCAAAGUGAAGAAUUCAUUAAUUAUAUUUUUGUGUUUGACAAGACCUUCGGACUUGUGCCUACGUACCAACAUAAAAUGAGGGAUCAAAACCUCGUAGUUUGUGGUAUCAAUUUCAAAGUGAGUGAGUUGCUUUUAA